UGAUCCAGCCAUGCCGCGUGCAGGAAGACGGCCCUAUGGGUUGUAAACUGCUUUUACACCGGAGAAAACCCCCCUACGUGUAGGGGGCUGAUAGUAUGGUGAGAAUAAGCAUCGGCUAACUUCGUGCCAGCAGCCGCGGUAAGACGAAGGAUGCAAGCGUUAUCCGGAUUCAUUGGGUUUAAAGGGAGCGUAGGCGGCCCGAUAAGUCAGUGGUGAAAUCUCCUGGCUUAACUAGGAAAUUGCCAUUGAUACUGUUGGGCUUGAGUACAGUUGCCGUUGGCGGAAUAUGACAUGUAGUGGUGAAAUACAUAGAGAUGUCAUAGAACACCGAUCGCGAAGGCAGCUAACGAAACUGUAACUGACGCUGAGGCUCGAAAGUGCGGGGAUCAAACAGGAUUAGAUACCCUGGUAGUCCGCACUGUAAACGAUGAUUACUCGCUGCUGGGAGGUAACUUUCAGUGGCUUAGCGAAAGCGAUAAGUAAUCCACCUGGGGAGUACGCCGGCAACGGUGAAACUCA
rnacentral:rRNA from 1 species